ACCUCUGGGACCCUUAUGCAUGCGUGCUUUUCACAUUUCAUUUUAUGAUAAUUUUGUCUGAGUUCAUGCAUAUGGCACAAUAAAUUGACCUAACAAUGAGCUAAAUGUGGCCAUCAGGGUCAAGUCCAUGGAGCCGCAUUUAAAGGUAGUCGUGUACUAUAAUUAUGUACACAUACAGGAAACAAGAACAUACUCAUAAAACUUAGACCAGACACAUCUAAUCACUAUUGCGACUACCAAAGUAGUGCAUUGAUCACUUAACGUCAAUUGAUGCUGAAGGCCAUUUUUGUAUUCAUUUCACCAGAAAAUCAAGAAAUGAAGAUGCCUGAAGAGCCCACCAGCUCCUCAGGGAAAAGAAAAAGUAUGGAAUUGACCCAGGGUGAGGCCAAGAGUUACAAAGGGGGAAACAAACUGUGUGCGACCCAGAGUGUGGCAUCCAGCUCCAAAGAAUUCAAAUCAAGAAGAUGUGUGAAAAGGCCAUGGAGCAAGACUGAAGUUGGUGCUGUCAUGAAACAUUUUAAGACACAUUUCAAAGGGACACUUGGCAACUAAGUUAGAGUGUGAGCGGUGUAAGGUUUCUGAGCACCCUGUUUUGAGCGACAGAACUCCUCAAAAUAUAAGAGACUUUGUUAGGAACAGGGGCCUUAUGUUUAAAAGAAAGGUCUAACUUGUUUUAUUUUUUUACAUAUGUUUCAAAGGUUCCUCAGAGCAUUAUUACGUGUUUGUGUUAGUUCAUGUUAGUUCAUAGUUCAUAGUUCAUAGUUCAGGGCUAUUCAACCUCCUUAACAAGUGGGCCGAAAAGGAAAACCACUGGGGGUUCAUGGGCCACACAGAGUAGAACGAUGUCAAUGAAUCGCUGCAAAUAAAUCGUACUUAAAGUAGUGUUAACUUAAUAUAUAUAGUACUACUACAUGGAAUAAACUUGUCAGACGCAUUCCUUCCUUCUUCACUUUUAAUCGUAUCAUUAGAAAAUAUUUUGUUCUCACAUAUUUUGGACACGUAUUUAGAAUUCAACAAUGUUGUUUGAAUCAUCACAAAACAGAACUACUGUACAUAUGAGACAUUUUGAGCCAGUGAGUCAGUGAGAAAGAUUGCACUGCCUUUUUUGCCUAGUUUGAAUCAUCCUGAGACACUCAUGCAGCUUCUCAUAGGUCAUGGAGCAGCGUGCCCAUGUUCUGAUGGCAUUCAUAUGAGAAAAGCUAGACUCAACGUAUCGGUUGAGCCAAACAUUGUCAGAAUAAGUGAUGCCAGUUCCUGAUUGUGGGGUACUGCUACUGGCUAGUAUCACCGGCUACACACGGAAACCUGAUUUGCAUGCAACUAUGUUUCUCCUUUAUUUUAUUUAUUUUUUGCAUGCAACCUCUUGCGGGCCAGAAAAAAUUAAGAGGGGCCGUAUUUGGCCCACGGGCCGCUAGUUGAAUAGGCCUGUCAUAGUUCAUAGUUCAUGUUCAUGUUCAAAUAAUUCAGAUUUGUUUAUGUGGAGUUCAAUAUGUGGAGUUCAAUAUAACGCAAGUUCAAUGUUAAGGAUUUUUUACACAUAAAUAAAAAUUGUGUUAUUUAUUAACUGAUUCAAAGAUUAUUACUGUAAUUCCAGGACAUGAAGGUACAUAAAAGGAACAACCUUCUCAAGGUUCCAUAAAAGCAGCAGACAAUUACAAAAUUACUAUUUAAAAGUUAAACAGCAUUCAGUGCUAAGAAAUAAUAUGAUAUAUAAAAUAAUACUACAUUUUAUUUAAAGCGCCUU